rnacentral:rRNA from 1 species
GUCGUUGUAAUGAAAUAGAAACGGACAGAGAACUUGUUCGAAGAAAGUGGAAGUAGACUUACAACAAUGGCUUUAGUGGCGGACUGGUGAGUAACGCGUAAGGAACCUGCCUUCUAGAGGGGAAUAACAAUGAGAAAUCAUUGCUAAUACCGCAUAUGCCGAGAGAAUCACAUGGUACAAUCGGGAAAAGAGUAAUCUGCUAGAAGAUGGCCUUGCGUCUGAUUAGAUAGUUGGUGGGGUAACGGCCUACCAAGUCGACGAUCAGUAGCCGGACUGAGAGGUUGAACGGCCACAUUGGGACUGAGAUACGGCCCAGACUCCUACGGGAGGCAGCAGUCGGGAAUAUUGCGCAAUGGAGGAAACUCUGACGCAGUGACGCUGCGUAUAGGAAGAAGGUUUUCGGAUUGUAAACUAUUGUCGUUAGGGAAGAGAAAGGACAGUACCUAAGAAGGAAGCUCCGGCUAACUACGUGCCAGCAGCCGCGGUAAUACGUAGGGAGCGAGCGUUAUCCGGAAUUAUUGGGUGUAAAGGGUGCGUAGACGGGAAGAUAAGUUAGUUGUGAAAUCCCUCGGCUUAACUGAGGAACUGCAACUAAAACUGUUUUUCUUGA